UAACAUCAACAUAUGCAAUGUACAUGUUAAAAUUCUACUUUAAAGCAAUAGGUCACCUACCUGGGUUCGCUUAAAAAUCCCUGCCACAGAUAUCACGAACCCCUAAUUAAACAUAAAUAUCAAUUAUUUAAUUAAUUAAGAAACAUAAUUUAAACUAUUUUUCAAACCCUUAAACUCCUAAGUUCAUAGAUCCAAUAAUCAGAAUCCUUUAAGCCCAAGUCAAUUGUGGCCCAAAACAGAUUAGGCCCAAUUGAACCAAACCAGAUUACAGGUCCAGAUCAGAUCUCGGGCCCAAACCAAACCAGCCCAAAAACAGGUCUCUAGCCCAACUCAAAUCAGACUACAUUCAAAUCAGAUUAACCCAAGUUUCUCACAGACCAUAACCAAAACCCAUUCACUCAAACCCAGAUCAAACCCAAUUCACGGAGUAGGUGGAACUGGUUCACAGUUUAAACCCGAUUCAAGGUCUGGUUCACAAGUGAGGCACGGCUUUCAAA
rnacentral:lncRNA from 1 species